rnacentral:rRNA from 1 species
GACGAACGCUGACGGCGUGCUUAACACAUGCAAGUCGAACGGUGAAGCGCCUUCCUUUUUGGUGGGUGUGGAUGAGUGGCGAACGGGUGAGUAACACGUGAGUAACCUGCCCCCUUCUUCUGGAUAACCGCAUGAAAGUGUGGCUAAUACGGGAUAUUCUGGGUCUGUCGCAUGAUGGGUCUGGGAAAGAUAUUGUUUCGGUGGGGGAUGGGCUCGCGGCCUAUCAGCUUGUUGGUGGGGUGAUGGCCUACCAAGGCGGUGACGGGUAGCCGGCCUGAGAGGGUGGACGGUCACACGGGGACUGAGACACGGCCCAGACUCCUACGGGAGGCAGCAGUGGGGAAUAUUGCACAAUGGGCGCAAGCCUGAUGCAGCGACGCCGCGUGAGGGAUGGAGGCCUUCGGGUUGUGAACCUCUUUCGCCAGUGAAGCAGGCCUGCCUCGUUUGUGGGUGGGUUGACGGUAGCUGGAUAAGAAGCGCCGGCUAACUACGUG